CUUUGCAAAGCAGUUGGACUAGAUGGCCCUCAGAGGUUACUUCCAAUUCUAAGGAUUCUAUGAUUCUGUUCUAUGCUGCCCUGUAACACCAGCAGUUCCUCCAGGUCUCUCAAGUUUAACCACUCCGGCCCUUGCAAGGAAAUUGCAAAGCCCCAUUUACCCAAAUGUUCACUUUCAGCAAACAUUUUAGAAGUUGUGUUGUGCAGGAAAUAGAACUCUGUCCCUUUUCCUGACUGAUGGGAUGUUUCUUGCCAGGUGCUCGCAGCUCUGUGUUCUGCCUUUCCAGCUGUCACUGCCUUCACUGGGGUUUGAAUACAGAGCUACUCAGCAGCCACACGGGAGAAGACUGAGCGUCUUUCUAGACAAACAAUUUACUUGCAGUUUCGGUUUUGGAGUGUUUUGGCAUGCUGUUGUAAAUCUGCCUGCUCCAGCACAUCUUCAUUUUCCUUCAACUUGGGGUCACUGCAAACGUACAUGGUGAUGUGAGCUGCAGGAUGUGCUUCUCCUCAAGGGGCAAAGGAAAGGCUUCUUUCUACGGAUGGACAGACUUUGUGCAGUUCUUCUGUACGUAUGGGGGAAUGUUACAGAAUUUCAAUAGGACCAGUUUAACUAUGAACAGCAAGGCAGCUGAGAUAGAGGGAAAAACAGCUUCCCGAAUGAAAUGGUGACCAUCAUAAGGAUGAUAUUAGUGGGCUUUGCCAGGUACUGCUUCUCUAAACCACGUCCCAGUAAAUGCUUUGCUGUGGACAGGGGUGGUUUCUGGUGUUUUUUUUCCCUUUUUUUCUGCAGUUGUAAUGAUGCUUGGGGCAGAGCCUCCUAGAAAACACAAUGAUCCUCCCACCAGUGAAGAAAUGAGAUGUCAUGGAAAUUAUAACCACAAGUGGCAACUACACUCAGAGCAUAGGGGACCUGGAAGGCCACAGUCUGUUUCUCCGCUGUUAAUGUUCAGAAGUCUACUUGUCCAGCCUCCUGCUUGCUGUGAAACCCUUCCAGCCUCGAAUCUUUGUUAACUGUAUAGAUAUCUUUAAAAUAUCAGAAGAAUGGCUUUUGGAAGGACAAAAAACUGUAUUUAAGGCUGCAUUGCUUUUCUUUACGUCUUUCUUGUUGCUCAGUUAUUUUGUUUUCUGUGACUCAAGGCCUAAGAUUCACUGUACCAUUUGACACAUUUAGCUUCACAAAAGAGCCCCAUGGCUUGUAAUUAAUAAGAGAUGCUAUAAUCAUA
rnacentral:lncRNA from 1 species